rnacentral:rRNA from 1 species
AGUGAACGCUGGCGGUAGGCCUAACACAUGCAAGUCGAACGGCAGCACAGUAAGAGCUUGCUCUUACGGGUGGCGAGUGGCGGACGGGUGAGGAAUACAUCGGAAUCUACUUUUUCGUGGGGGAUAACGUAGGGAAACUUACGCUAAUACCGCAUACGACCUACGGGUGAAAGCAGGGGAUCUUCGGACCUUGCGCGAUUGAAUGAGCCGAUGUCGGAUUAGCUAGUUGGCGGGGUAAAGGCCCACCAAGGCGACGAUCCGUAGCUGGUCUGAGAGGAUGAUCAGCCACACUGGAACUGAGACACGGUCCAGACUCCUACGGGAGGCAGCAGUGGGGAAUAUUGGACAAUGGGCGCAAGCCUGAGCCAGCCAUACCGCGUGGGUGAAGAAGGCCGUCGGGUUGUAAAGCCCUUUUGUUGGGAAAGAAAAGCAGCAGGUUAAUACCCCGCUGUUCUGACGGUACCCAAAGAAUAAGCACCGGCUAACUUCGUGC